rnacentral:rRNA from 1 species
UACUGCUAUCGGUGUUCGACUAAGCCAUGCUAGUUAAAUGUUCUUCGUGAACAUAGCGGACUGCUCAGUAACACGUGGACAAUCUGCCCUUGGGUUCAGCAUAACCCCGGGAAACUGGGGAUAAUUCUGAAUAGAUCACAUAUGCUGGAAUGCUUUGUGAUUAAAAGAUCCGUCGCCCAAGGAUGGGUCUGCGGCCUAUCAAGUUGUAGUGGGUCUAGAGUACCUACUAGCCAACGACGGGUACGGGUUGUGAGAGCAAGAGCCCGGAGAUGGAUUCUGAGACAUUAAUCCAGGCCCUACGGGGCGCAGCAGGCGCGAAACCUUUACACUGCGGGAAACCGCGAUAAGGGGACACCGAGUGCCAGCAUACAAUGCUGGCUGUCCACAUGUGUAAAUAGCAUGUGAUAGCAAGGGCCGGGCAAGACCGGUGCCAGCCGCCGCGGUAACACCGGCGGCCCGAGUGGUAAUCACUAUUAUUGGGUCUAAAGGGUCCGUAGCCGGUUUAAUCAGUCUUCCGGGAAAUCUGACAGCUCAACUGUUAGGCUACCGGGGGAUACUGUUAGACUUG